rnacentral:lncRNA from 10 species
AUGGCCUGGGGAAGGCAGACCCACCUUUAACCUGGUGGGCUCAAUCUAAUCAGCUGCCAGCAAAUAUAAAGCAGGCAGAAAAACGUGAAAAGUGUGAGACUGGCCUAGCCUCCCAGCCUACAUCUUUCUCCCAUGCUGGAUACUUCCUGUCCUCAAACAUCGGACUCCAAGUUCUUCAGUUUUAAGACUUGGACUGGCUCUCCUUGCAUCUCAAGUUUGCAGACAGCCUAUUUUGGGAACUUGUGAUCAUGUAAAGGUGGAACUAUAAGAUAUUUGUUUGAAAAGGGGGCACCAAGUCCAGCAGAAUUGAGAAACACCAGGAGAAAUAGCUCUUUGCCAGAAUGCAAGACAAAUUUGAAUAUGGCCACCCCAACCUGAGCAGGAUCUCUGGACUCCCGUAGUUGGACAUUUCCCCACAUCCUGGUGGCUGUCAGCUAGGACUGCAUGAGGACUCCAUCAGCAGAAAGGAGGUUCUCCCAUAAACAGUUCUACAAGAGCCUGCCCACACACUCCAGAGGCUACACCUGUACCAGAUGACAGCUGCAAACCCUCAAUGGCCUAUGAGGGAGACCAAACUCUUCACAUGGAGGAUGGUUAGGAAAUGUGCAUAUGACAUGCAAAAAUGCAAGAAGCUGGGAUAAAGGAAUAACAGGUAAACCUCUAGACCAGCCUGUAGUCAAGGAAGCAUUGCUGGAACAGGGAAAGGCUGGCAUUGAAGUGGAGAAAACCCUUCUAUGCCCACCAGAAAGGUGGGAGCAUCCCUGGAGGGAAUCUUCUCCAACUGCCCUUUGCCCCAUUGAAAAUUCAGAUGAGAAGAGGAGGCACAACGUGUCCUAGCUGCACACCUCCUGAGGUGAAGAAGAGAGACAGAAUUAUGGAGAGUGAGAUGCUGAGGCCUCUGUACCACACCUGUCUCCCUAGGUGCAGGGCAGAUGACCAGGGGCCUCAUGCAAGGGACACUGGGCGCCACGAGAAUCACGAACACAAACCAUUAGCCCAUAAUCUACCUUUACCUUAUUAAAAUGAUUCCCCCACUCCUACAUUUCACGUUGUUUUCCUCCCUCCAGGAAGACUAUCAACCCCAAAUGAUUACGCUUCCCUCCCUUCACACUCCCACCCCACCCAUCCCACACUUGGUGCUGCUAUGAAUACCCCC